AUGCUCGUACAAAAACCAGAGCUGCGGAACUUCCCGCGCCUGCCGCAUGGGGGCAGCAACGACACAAGGGCCCGGUCACAGGUUGCUCUGACCCAGUCCGGUCCAGAACUGAAGAAGCCCGGAGAAUCCACUCGGCUGAAAUGCGCCGUGAGCGGGUUCACUAUCACCGACUAUUACAUGGCUUGGGUGAGACAGGAGCCGGGAAAGGGGCUGGAGUGGCUGGUCGGCUACUGGAAACCAGGGCAGAGCGAGUAUUAUUCUCCCACCAUCCAGGGGCGAUUCACAGCCUCCAAGGACAGCACCAACUUCUACCUGCAAAUGACCGGCCUGAAGCCCGAGGACACCGCCGUGUAUUACUGUGCUGCGAGAGACACGACCCUGACGCUCUGGCACUGA